AGCUGUAUCGCUGCUCUAAAACUUCAGUUAGAGAAGGAGAACUGUUUAGUCGAGGUGAUAUACUUAUUAGCCAAGGCCUUCAUGCCCGAAAGGGAGUGAAUGCCUUCUUCACAGGGGGAGCUUGUACGUUUUUACAUCGCCUUGCCUCCCCAGAAAUCGAAAUUUACUUUAUUUGCUAGAAGAGCAGCCAUUUUUCCCACACUUUUACGAAUUGGGGGAUCGGCAUUUCUGUUGUGCCCCAAAGAUGGGGGUUAUAAAGCCGUUAAUGACUAGAGAACUAGUGUAGAAUAUGAAGGGCAGGUUGUAGGGGUUAUAUGGGCUGCUGGGUAGGCUUUAGGGAGUCCUAGCCUAAGAUCACUUCUCCCACAACUCUGUGCUGGCUGUGUUUUGCAUCUUUCCAGACAAUGCUGCAGCCCAUGCUUGAACUGAGGUCCCCAUGAAUGACCUGCCUUUGUCCUCAGUUGCUCCUAGGUCCUAUACCAGUGAGACGUGUCCUCAGUAGACUUGUUUCAGCCCCUUUGUUCCUUAAUGCUGGUUGGAGCCCUCACCAGACAUCAAGCUACAGGCGCAAGCCAACUAAGAUUGCCGACUCCAUGCAUCCCUGCCUCCUUGCCAGUGCUUUAAUUACCUGAGAUCAUCAAUUUGGAAACAAGCUUUGCAUUGAAUGUUGAAUUUGGCCCCUUUCUCAUAUUGUGCUUGAUAGAAUAAUUCAGACAGCACACAGCGCUCGGUCCACGUGGCCUAUAGGCCGUCCAGUUAGCUCAGGUAGUACAAUGGGUUUUUCUUUGUAAACAAAUGUAAUUUGGAACUAGUAAUUGAGCUUCCCUGGCGACCUUUCAAACAUAUAACAAUACCAUAACUUAAGGUCUGCCAACACUAGUCGCCAGGGGCUCCUCUGCUGUGCCAGGAGUGCUACAAAAAAUCCCCUAGCUCAAGACAAACUGACUGACGAGCAAAAACUCCCCUAGCUCAAGACAAAUUGACUGACGAACUGAUGAUGAUUCUUGGCAUCCUCCUCUGUGGCUUCAUUGAAGCCAUGACCAUGGUUUCGGCGCAAGCAAACUCGACGUACUACCUGCUCCCGGAUGAACCGAAGGCCUUCAUAGCCAGCUAUAAAUCUGACUUGACAACCCCCCUGCAACUCAACUCAUCCACUCUCAGUUCCAUCCAAGCCAACAACCUACUCAUCCUUCGGUGCUCUUCUGAGGCGUGGAGAGCAAAGGCUGUCGGGUUUGCAA